AACUGAAAAAAAAAAUGGAAAUCAAGAUACUAGACCAUCAAGUCGGUCCUAUUAGAAAAAUACAAGGGUGUGGAUUCGGUUGAAACCGCUAUCAUGGUCGUGGAAGAGGACGAGGAAGAAGAUUCCGUCCCAAUAAGAAUAAUGAGAACUUCCACGAAAAUGAAAGUGGUCGGGUGAUAAAAGGCAAACAGAAAAAGUUUGCUAUAGAUACGGCCG
rnacentral:lncRNA from 1 species